CAUUCUCUCCUCUCUGCCCGAUUCCCCUGGUCGCCUCCCCCCACGCCCGCCGCCGCCAGCCCGAAACCCUAGCUCCCUCCCUCGCGCGAUCAGAUCCGCCCACCCUCCCUCACUCUUCGCGCUCAAAUCCGCCCUCCCUCCCUCACUCUUCGCGCUGGAAACCCUAGCCGCCGGGCCAUGGUGACAGACGGCGACAACGACGACGGUGGCUACCUUGACGAUGGUGGUGCGGCCAGCAGCAGAAGCACCACCAUGCCCUCCCUUCCUCCAACCCUAGUGAUCCGGCCAUGUUGGCGGCGGCCAGAUCUGCACCGGGACAGGACCUGCUUGUGCUCGUGAGGAGAGGCAUGCCAUGGAGCAGCUCGUCAAGGACAGGAAGUAUAAGAUGAACUCGAUAAUCUCCAAUUGGUUUCAUUAUUGCUGUCCCGGUCCUCAUGAGCGGAUAAUCUUUCUACAACGAGUAGAUGGGGGUACAUGGUUUGGGUUUCUCUGCAGAACUGAAAUAGUUUUCCGAUUACACACUUUAUCAGAACCGAGACACAGGUAGGCUCUGGGUUGUGCCAUCACAUUAGUGAAAAUAGAUGUACAAUGCCAAUUAGUAUUUUGUUUGUUGCUUCAUCAUCCCUCACAAACUUUCAGGUUUGGUAUUCCUGCUUUUAUGAUAUACUUAAUGAUUGAGGAAGGAUCUAUGCAAUCGAAACAGAUGCCUUGUUCUCAUUGAUGUCAUGAUACGCUGUGAGGCAAUUCCUUGCCAUUGGCCAUGUUAGGUCGUUAUUAUCUAUGCACAUAGGAGGCUUCUGUUUUUUUAUAUAUUUAUGGGCUGAUUAAUUAUGGGCUUUUGGGUUAGUAUCCUUUUGGAAAAUGCACUGUAUUUCAAUUCCUGUUUUGUAUCAUUCAAGAUUCUUCCUUUGAUGUUAUUUUGCUGCUGGUCACGCUCCUAAUGGCAUUUGUUAAUACAUGUAUCCAUGGUUUUCUUGUGUUAUGAUUUAUCUUUCCUACAGCCAACACAUUUUUUUCUCUUGGCCGACUUGCUGCUUGCAUACAUGACAGAUAUGCAUCCAUGGUGAAGUUACUAUAUAAGUAUAGGGUCAAGCACUGCCCCGACAUACAUCUAUUUUGAGUUUUUCCUCAAAGUCCCAUGGCCAUGUUGCUGGUAGAGUUGGAGGGUAUAUACUGCUGUGAUCUUACUUCUAUAUGGCCAUGUAAACCUCACUGCUUUGCACUUUUUUGAUAAACCGGUAUAUGAGUUUGUAACUUCUUUCUCUUCUCUCUUGAACUGUUUAUUUGCAGCAACGCCCUUGAUUUUGAAAUUGGAGAAGGAAGAUGGAUAACAGAGUUCAGUACAGUAAGGAUGCUCUACAAUAUAGGAAUCCAGACAAGGACGAUGAGCAAUACACGACCCCACGGCCGAGCCGAUGACCAACCACCAGGGAAGUGGACAUGUGAAUAAGGGAUGGAGAAGCAAUGUUGAUUGGUUGCACGGAGCUACAGUCAACCUGAUGUGGUGUUUUAAUCUCCUUGACAUAGAGAGUAGUUGUGUGUGGUUUCCUUUCGAGUAGCAUAGUUGGAGUUUAGCAUGUGUGUGUAGAGCUGAUGGUCGUGAGGCUAAUUCUGGGAGUAGUACAUGACUGGAAGAGGCCCAGCUAGAUAUGAUACUUUGUGAUGGUUUAAUCUACUUUGUGAUCUCAUAUGCAACACUUUGUGAUACCCUAUGAUAUAUAUAUGGACAUUUGCUACGGUUUGUUUUGUUUC